rnacentral:misc_RNA from 1 species
GGGAAGCUUCUGUAGUUAUUGGUAUGAGAAGCUUCCGGA